AAACUGUCACCGAUCAGAAUAAACACGUCAAGGACGUGUAGUUCAAAUAUCAACAAAUUAUCGCGACUGCCGACUAUACCUAGUACACAGUCAUCCUGGCCGCGGUUAUUUAACAGCUGGGGGGGAAAUCAUCGUUAAUGUCCUAGCGACAGUGCUGGGCGCUUGUUGUGGGCACUGCGGUUAGUGAGGGCGACAUGAAUAUCAUACGAAAUAUUACCGCGGUUGCUGUCCCGAGGCUCAGUAGGGGCUUUUCGGCAUCUUCUGUAAAAAAUGCGAAAUACUCCUGUAAACUACUGGUGGUGGGGGGAGGGUCAGGAGGUUGCACAAUGGCUGCUAAGUUUGCCCGCAGAUUUCCAAAAGAUGCAGUGAUUGUUCUUGAACCAAGCAAGGAACAUUACUACCAGCCGCUAUGGACGCUAGUCGGCGGUGGCGAGUUUCAAGGUCAAAGAUACGGUCCGGCUGGAAGCAGACGUACUGCCUAAGAAGGCGAAGUGGGUCCAGGACUAUGCUGAGGAAGUCGUGCCCGGAGACAACCUCGUCAAGACUAGGGAAGGCCACGAAAUCCAUUACGAGUACAUCAUCAUUGCCGUCGGGAUCGAUAAUGCUUAUGAGAAGGUACCGGGACUGUUGGAGGCUCUAGAAGACAAGAACAGCGCUGUAU